rnacentral:rRNA from 1 species
GAUUAUGGCUCAGGACGAACGCUGGCGGCAUGCCUAACACAUGCAAGUCGAACGGGGUUAUAAAAGUUACUUUCAAUUAAACCUAGUGGCGGACGGGUGAGUAACGCGUGGAUAAUCUGCCUAUUAGUCUGGGAUAACUCCGGGAAACCGGAGCUAAUACCGGAUAACAUUUUUCCUCGCAUGGAGAGGAAUUAAAAGGGUUUCCGCUAAUAGAUGAAUCCGCGUCCCAUUAGCUAGUUGGUGGGGUAAAGGCCUACCAAGGCGACGAUGGGUAGCCGGCCUGAGAGGGUGAACGGCCACACUGGGACUGAGACACGGCCCAGACUCCUACGGGAGGCAGCAGUGGGGAAUAUUCCGCAAAUGGGGGAAACCCUGACGGAGCAAUGCCACGUGAGGGACGAAGGCCUUCGGGUUGUAAACCUUUGUUUUAUGGGAAGAUAGUGACGGUACCAUAAGAGGAAGCCCCGGCUAACUACGUGCCAGCAGCAGC